AGCAGCCGCGGUAAUUCCAGCUCCAAUAGUGUAUAUUAAAGUUGUUGCAGUUAAAAAGCUCGUAGUUGAAUUUCGGAGUUUGUCGGUUGGUCGGGCUUCAUUGUCCGCACUGACCUGAUGGAUUCCUACCUUCUGAAUAACCAGCAUGCUAUUAAGUUAGUGCGUUGGGGAAGCAGAGCUAUUACCUUGAAAAAUUAGAGUGCUUAAAGCAGGCUUAUGCUUGAAUAGAUUAGCAUGGAAUAAUAAAAUAGGACGGCAUGGUUCUAUUUUGUUGGUUUCUAGGAUCACCGUAAUGAUUAAUAGGGAUAGUUGGGGGCAUUAGUAUUCAAUUGUCAGAGGUGAAAUUCUUGGAUUUAUUGAAGACUAACUUCUGCGAAAGCAUUUGCCAAGGAUGUUUUCAUUAAUCAAGAACGAAAGUUAGGGGAUCGAAGACGAUCAGAUACCGUCGUAGUCUUAACCAU
rnacentral:rRNA from 1 species